rnacentral:rRNA from 1 species
UAUUAUUCUAAUAAUUUAUUAUGCCCUAGGUUAGUAAUAGAUAUUUACUUAAAAACUAAAAAAUUUGGCGGUAAUUUAAUCUUUUCAGAGGAACUUGUUUUUUAAUCGAUAAUCCCCGAAAUAUCUUACUUAUUUUAGUAAAAAGUUUGUAUACCAUCAUUAUUAGAUAAUUUUCAAAGAAUGAAUUAUUAGGAUUAAAAAUUUAAUAAAAUUAGAUCAUGGUGCAGCAUAUAGAUAAGUUAAAAUGAGUUACAAUAAAUUUUUUUACUGGUUAGAUAAAAGUAUUUUUAUCUAUAAAUAGGAUUUGAUUGUAUUUGAAGUUUAAUAAGCUAAUAAGAUAAAAGCUCUAAAUUAUGUACAUAU